UACGGGGGGGGCAAGCGUUGUUCGGAAUUACUGGGCGUAAAGGGCGCGUAGGUGGCCUUCUUAGUCAGACGUGAAAUCCCUGGGCUUAACUCAGGAACUGCGUCUGAUACUGGAAGGCUCGAGUUCGGGAGAGGAAUGUGGAAUUCCAGGUGUAGCGGUGAAAUUCGUAGAUAUUCGCAAGAACACCAGUGGCGAAGGCGGCUCACUGGCCCGAUACUGACGCUGAGGCACGAAAGCGUGGGGAGCAAACAGG
rnacentral:rRNA from 1 species